rnacentral:rRNA from 1 species
UACGAAGGGGGCUAGCGUUGCUCGGGAUCACUGGGCGUAAAGGGUGCGUAGGCGGGUCUUUAAGUCAGGGGUGAAAUCCUGGAGCUCAACUCCAGAACUGCCUUUGAUACUGAGGAUCUUGAGUUCGGGAGAGGUGAGUGGAACUGCGAGUGUAGAGGUGAAAUUCGUAGAUAUUCGCAAGAACACCAGUGGCGAAGGCGGCUCACUGGCCCGAUACUGACGUUGAGGCACGAAAGCGUGGGGAGCAAACAGG